rnacentral:SRP_RNA from 1 species
GCUGGGUGUGGAGGCACACGCCUGUAAUCCCAGCUACUCAGGAGGCUGAGACAGGAGAAUCAUUUGAACCCGGGAGGCUGAGGUUGCAGUGAGCCGAGAUUGCGCCACUGCACUCUAGCCUGGGUGACAGAGUAAGACUUUGUCUCAA